GGAAUAUUGGUCAAUGGGCGAGAGCCUGAACCAGCCAAGUCGCGUGAAGGAAGAAGGUUCUAUGGAUUGUAAACUUCUUUUGUCCGAGGGUAAAGGAGUCCACGUGUGGAUUUUUGCAAGUAUCGGACGAAUAAGCAUCGGCUAACUCCGUGCCAGCAGCCGCGGUAAUACGGAGGAUGCGAGCGUUAUCCGGAUUUAUUGGGUUUAAAGGGUGCGUAGGUGGUCUGUUAAGUCUGUGGUGAAAGCGUGCGGCUCAACCGUACCAAGCCAUGGAUACUGGUUGACUUGAGUGCAAACGAGGUAGGCGGAAUGUGACGUGUAGCGGUGAAAUGCUUAGAUAUGUCACAGAACCCCGAUUGCGAAGGCAGCUUACCAGCAUGCAACUGACACUGAGGCACGAAAGCGUGGGUAUCAAACA
rnacentral:rRNA from 1 species